rnacentral:ncRNA from 1 species
AUUAUCACAUUCAUGAGGACGAGUAAUCGGUACCAGUCUGCUAGAGACGUCAUGGUUGGUGAAAGUGACGGGCGAAGCCGGUGAAAACUCCCUCAGUAGUGGCCUUUGAGUAAUGCGUGAAAUGAAGCCCGGUUGUCAGCCGUUAUCUUGGCAAAAGAGUGUUGUCUAGGUCUUUUUACUUAGGCAAAACACGGGUGGUACCACGCAACAAGCGUCCCUAGA